UGACCUCGGAUCAGGUAGGGAUACCGCUGAACUUAAGCAUAUCAAUAAGCGGAGGAAAAGAAACCAACAGGGAUUGCCUCAGUAACGGCGAGUGAAGCGGCAAGAGCUCAAAUUUGAAAGCUGGCCCCCUCGGGGUCCGCGUUGUAAUUUGCAGAGGAUGCUUCGGGUGCAGCCCCGUCUAAGUGCCCUGGAACGGGCCGUCAUAGAGGGUGAGAAUCCCGUCUGGGACGGGGUGUCUGCGUCCGUGUGAAGCUCCUUCGACGAGUCGAGUUGUUUGGGAAUGCAGCUCUAAAUGGGUGGUAAAUUUCAUUCUAAAGCUAAUACUGGCCGAGACCGAUAGCGCACAAGUAGAGUGAUCGAAAAGAUGAAAAGCACUUUGAAAAGAGAGUUAAACAGCACGUGAAAUUGUUGAAAGGGAAGCGUUUGCGACCAGACCGCCCGCGGGGUUCAGCCGGCAUUCGUGCCGGUGUACUUCCCCGUGGGCGGGCCAGCGUCGGUUUGGGCGGCCGGUCAAAGGCCCUCGGAAUGUAUCACCUCUCGGGGUGUCUUAUAGCCGAGGGUGCAAUGCGGCCCUGCCCGGACCGAGGAACGCGCUUCGGCUCGGACGCUGGCGUAAUGGUCGUAAUGACCCGUCUUGAAACACGGACCAAGGAGUCUAACAUCUA
rnacentral:ncRNA from 1 species